GACGAACGCUGGCGGCGUGCUUAACACAUGCAAGUCGAACGGUAAGGCCCUUCGGGGUACACGAGUGGCGAACGGGUGAGUAACACGUGGGUGAUCUGCCCUGCACUUCGGGAUAAGCCUGGGAAACUGGGUCUAAUACCGGAUAGGACCACUGCCUGCAUGGGUGGUGGUGGAAAGCUUUUGCGGUGUGGGAUGGGCCCGCGGCCUAUCAGCUUGCUGGUGGGGUGAUGGCCUACCAAGGCGACGACGGGUAGCCGGCUUGAGAGGGUGACCGGCCACACUGGGACUGAGAUACGGCCCAGACUCCUACGGGAGGCAGCAGUGGGGAAUAUUGCACAAUGGGCGCAAGCCUGAUGCAGCGACGCCGCGUGAGGGAUGACGGCCUUCGGGUUGUAAACCUCUUUCAGCACCGACGAAGCGCAAGUGACGGUAGGUGCAGAAAAAGGACCGGCCAACUACGUGCCAGCCGCCGCAGUAA
rnacentral:rRNA from 1 species